rnacentral:rRNA from 1 species
GACGAACGCUGGCGGCGUGCCUAAUACAUGCAAGUCGAGCGAACGAGGAAGAAGCUUGCUUCUUCCUUUGUUAGCGGCGGAUGGGUGAGUAACACGUGGGCAACCUGCCCUGUAGUUGGGGAUAACUCCGGGAAACCGGGGCUAAUACCGAAUAAUCAGUUCCUUCGCAUGAAGGAACUCUGAAAGACGGCUAUGCUGUCACUACAGGAUGGGCCCGCGGCGCAUUAGCUAGUUGGUGAGGUAAUGGCUUACCAAGGCGACGAUGCGUAGCCGACCUGAGAGGGUGAUCGGCCACACUGGGACUGAGACACGGCCCAGACUCCUACGGGAGGCAG